UCUGGAUACAUACACCUGCAAAGGCUGGAGAGCAAUGGCGCGAUCUCGGCUCACCGCAAUCUCCGCCUCCCUGGUUCAGCCCAUUCUCCUCCGUCAGCCUCCCGAGUAGCUGGGAUUACAGGUUCAACUUUCCCUAUAUACAUAUUUGUCUGCUGAAUUUAUUGGAACUGCUACCAUCUACACCACCAUAUGCAGAAUAGGAACAGUUAUUAAAGAUAAUGCACACCUUAAAAUAUUACUACUGGGUUAUUAAUCCUGCUGACAGUAGUGGCAUUACACCUAAAGGAUUAGGUAUGUAUAACACUUCCACUGUAUUUACAUUUGCCUAUGAAUAUUCUGUAUUCUGAGUACUGUUAAAGUGUGAGCCGUGUACAUGACUAUGAAAUCACUGAAAUGUUUUCUUUCUUAUGUAGCAAACUGACAUAUUGAGAAUUGUUUGUGGUAAAGAAGUUUAGGGCUUUUCAAUAUUAAAUUAUUUUGGAAUAAAAUCAGGUAAAAAGCAACAAUAGUCUUUAUUUUAGCCUGUAUGCCUUUUUCCAUUCAGGAAGACACAUUUAUAAUAUUAAAAACAGUUAAAUGAUAUUGGUAAGUGUGUUCUAGUACAUCAGUUGCUUUCAACAUUUUCAGAUUGUUACAUGUUUUCAUAUUUUUAUUCCAGAUUUAUCCUUUGUUGUGACUGUAGUGGAAACUAAUUUAAUUCUUCACUGUGAUAUCUUUUUUGUUUUGAAAAUAUAGCCAGUUUUUCU
rnacentral:lncRNA from 10 species